rnacentral:rRNA from 1 species
GACGAACGCUGGCGGCGUGCUUAACACAUGCAAGUCGAACGGAAAGGCCCCUUUGGGGGUACUCGAGUGGCGAACGGGUGCGUAACACGUGAGUAACCUGCACUUGACUUCGGGAUAACUUCAGGAAACUGGGGCUAAUACCGGAUAGGAAUCCUUGCUGCAUGGUGGGGGUUGGAAAGCUUCGGCGGUUUUGGAUGGACUCGCGGCCUAGCAGCUUGUUGGUGGGGUAGUGGCUUACCAAGGCUUUGACGGGUAGCCGGCCUGGGGGGGCGACCGGCCACAUUGGCACUGGGGUCCGGCCCAGACUCCUACGGGGGGCAGCAGGGGGGAAUAUUGCACAAUGGGCGGGAGCCUGAUGCAGCAACGCCGCGUGCGGGAUGACGGCCUUCGGGUUGUAAACCGCUUUCAGCAGGGGCGAAGCUUGUGGUGACGGUACCUGCAGAAGAAGCACCGGCUAACUACGUG